UGGGGAAUUUUGGACAAUGGGCGCAAGCCUGAUCCAGCCAUGCCGCGUGCGGGAAGAAGGCCUUCGGGUUGUAAACCGCUUUUGUCAGGGAAGAAAUCUUCUGAGUUAAUACCUCGGGAGGAUGACGGUACCUGAAGAAUAAGCACCGGCUAACUACGUGCCAGCAGCCGCGGUAAUACGUAGGGUGCAAGCGUUAAUCGGAAUUACUGGGCGUAAAGCGUGCGCAGGCGGUUUUGUAAGACAGAGGUGAAAUCCCCGGGCUCAACCUGGGAACUGCCUUUGUGACUGCAAGGCUUGAGUGCGGCAGAGGGGGGAUGGAAUUCCGCGUGUAGCAGUGAAAUGCGUAGAUAUGCGGAGGAACACCGAUGGCGAAGGCCAAUUCCCCCUGGGGCCUGCACUGACGCUCAUGCACGAAAGCGUGGGGAGCAAACAGG
rnacentral:rRNA from 1 species